rnacentral:rRNA from 1 species
GACGAACGCUGGCGGCGUGCUUAAUACAUGCAAGUCGAACGGAAAGGCCCUGCUCUUGUGCGGUGCUCGAGUGGCGAACGGGUGAGUAAAACGUGAGUAACCUGUCCUUGUCUUUGGGAUAAAUCUUGGAAAAUGGGGAUAUAAUCGGAUAGGAGCUCCUGCUGCAUGGUGGGGGUUGGAAAGUUUCGGCGGUUGGGGAUGGACUCGCGGGUUAUCCGCUUCAUUGUGGGGUAGUGGCUUACCAAGGUUUAGACGGGUAGCCGGCCUGGGAGGGUGACCGGCCACAUUGGGACUGAGGUACGGCCCAGACGCCUACGGGAGGCAGAAGUCGAGAAUAUUACGCAAUGGGCGGAAGCCUGAGGCAACGACGCCCCGUGCGGAAUGACGUCCUUCGAGUUGUGAACCGCUUUCGCCUUUGACGAAGCGUGAGUGACGGUAAUUGGUAAAAAAGCACCGGCUAACUACGUG